AUGUUGCCACUGAAGUCAACCCUUCUGAAUAGUUUCUCACCACUCUUACGAUUGAUCAACCUGCUCCUGGCCUAAAGGCAAUUCUCAGCUUCAAACUUCCUGAUCAGAGGUCCUACAAGAUAGAAAAACUCAGUGGAGUCAGAAAUUGGAAGAAGGACAAGUGAUCUCACGAGGAAUUUUCUUAGUGGUAAUAUACUGAGUGAAUGGG